UACAAAAUUCACCGACUGAUGCAAGGCUUAGGAGGAAUUGAACCCAGCCCCUGCCGAAAAUACAAAUACCUGACGGCCUGUGGGCCAGGCACACACACCUCACACACACACACAGACACACACUCUCUGCUGCCGGCGUUGGUCUCUGUGGACAGCUUCAGGAUGAGGUACGCGAUGCUCUUCCUGGUUCUGACGCUCGUCGUCUUCCUGGCUGAACCCGCCGAGUGCGGCUUCAGGUCAUGGAUCAAGAAAACAUGGAAGAAAAUCAAAAAUGCGUUCAGAGGUUCCAAGUCGAGGCAGGACGUGGCC